GGGUUGUGAGGUUAAGCGACUAAGCGUACACGGUGGAUGCCCUGGCAGUCAGAGGCGAUGAAGGACGUGCUAAUCUGCGAUAAGCGUCGGUAAGGUGAUAUGAACCGUUAUAACCGGCGAUUUCCGAAUGGGGAAACCCAGUGUGAUUCGUCACACUAUCAUUAACUGAAUCCAUAGGUUAAUGAGGCGAACCGGGGGAACUGAAACAUCUAAGUACCCCGAGGAAAAGAAAUCAACCGAGAUUCCCCCAGUAGCGGCGAGCGAACGGGGAGCAGCCCAGAGCCUGAAUCAGUGUGUGUGUUAGUGGAAGCGUCUGGAAAGGCGUGCGAUACAGGGUGACAGCCCCGUACACAAAAAUGCACAUACUGUGAGCUCGAUGAGUAGGGCGGGACACGUGGUAUCCUGUCUGAAUAUGGGGGGACCAUCCUCCAAGGCUAAAUACUCCUGACUGACCGAUAGUGAACCAGUACCGUGAGGGAAAGGCGAAAAGAACCCCGGCGAGGGGAGUGAAAAAGAACCUGAAACCGUGUACGUACAAGCAGUGGGAGCACGCUUAGGCGUGUGACUGCGUACCUUUUGUAUAAUGGGUCAGCGACUUAUAUUCUGUAGCAAGGUUAACCGAAUAGGGGAGCCGAAGGGAAACCGAGUCUUAACUGGGCGUUAAGUUGCAGGGUAUAGACCCGAAACCCGGUGAUCUAGCCAUGGGCAGGUUGAAGGUUGGGUAACACUAACUGGAGGACCGAACCGACUAAUGUUGAAAAAUUAGCGGAUGACUUGUGGCUGGGGGUGAAAGGCCAAUCAAACCGGGAGAUAGCUGGUUCUCCCCGAAAGCUAUUUAGGUAGCGCCUCGUGAAUUCAUCUCCGGGGGUAGAGCACUGUUUCGGCAAGGGGGUCAUCCCGACUUACCAACCCGAUGCAAACUGCGAAUACCGGAGAAUGUUAUCACGGGAGGCACACGGCGGGUGCUAACGUCCGUCGUGAAGAGGGAAACAACCCAGACCGCCAGCUAAGGUCCCAAAGUCAUGGUUAAGUGGGAAACGAUGUGGGAAGGCCCAGACAGCCAGGAUGUUGGCUUAGAAGCAGCCAUCAUUUAAAGAAAGCGUAAUAGCUCACUGGUCGAGUCGGCCUGCGCGGAAGAUGUAACGGGGCUAAACCAUGCACCGAAGCUGCGGCAGCGACGCUUAUGCGUUGUUGGGUAGGGGAGCGUUCUGUAAGCCUGUGAAGGUGUGCUGUGAGGUAUGCUGGAGGUAUCAGAAGUGCGAAUGCUGACAUAAGUAACGAUAAAGCGGGUGAAAAGCCCGCUCGCCGGAAGACCAAGGGUUCCUGUCCAACGUUAAUCGGGGCAGGGUGAGUCGACCCCUAAGGCGAGGCCGAAAGGCGUAGUCGAUGGGAAACAGGUUAAUAUUCCUGUACUUGGUGUUACUGCGAAGGGGGGACGGAGAAGGCUAUGUUGGCCGGGCGACGGUUGUCCCGGUUUAAGCGUGUAGGCUGGUUUUCCAGGCAAAUCCGGAAAAUCAAGGCCGAGGCGUGAUGACGAGGCACUACGGUGCUGAAGCAACAAAUGCCCUGCUUCCAGGAAAAGCCUCUAAGCAUCAGGUAACAUCAAAUCGUACCCCAAACCGACACAGGUGGUCAGGUAGAGAAUACCAAGGCGCUUGAGAGAACUCGGGUGAAGGAACUAGGCAAAAUGGUGCCGUAACUUCGGGAGAAGGCACGCUGAUACGUAGGUGAAGCGACUUGCUCGUGGAGCUGAAAUCAGUCGAAGAUACCAGCUGGCUGCAACUGUUUAUUAAAAACACAGCACUGUGCAAACACGAAAGUGGACGUAUACGGUGUGACGCCUGCCCGGUGCCGGAAGGUUAAUUGAUGGGGUUAGCGCAAGCGAAGCUCUUGAUCGAAGCCCCGGUAAACGGCGGCCGUAACUAUAACGGUCCUAAGGUAGCGAAAUUCCUUGUCGGGUAAGUUCCGACCUGCACGAAUGGCGUAAUGAUGGCCAGGCUGUCUCCACCCGAGACUCAGUGAAAUUGAACUCGCUGUGAAGAUGCAGUGUACCCGCGGCAAGACGGAAAGACCCCGUGAACCUUUACUAUAGCUUGACACUGAACAUUGAGCCUUGAUGUGUAGGAUAGGUGGGAGGCUUUGAAGUGUGGACGCCAGUCUGCAUGGAGCCGACCUUGAAAUACCACCCUUUAAUGUUUGAUGUUCUAACGUGGACCCGUGAUCCGGGUUGCGGACAGUGUCUGGUGGGUAGUUUGACUGGGGCGGUCUCCUCCUAAAGAGUAACGGAGGAGCACGAAGGUUGGCUAAUCCUGGUCGGACAUCAGGAGGUUAGUGCAAUGGCAUAAGCCAGCUUGACUGCGAGCGUGACGGCGCGAGCAGGUGCGAAAGCAGGUCAUAGUGAUCCGGUGGUUCUGAAUGGAAGGGCCAUCGCUCAACGGAUAAAAGGUACUCCGGGGAUAACAGGCUGAUACCGCCCAAGAGUUCAUAUCGACGGCGGUGUUUGGCACCUCGAUGUCGGCUCAUCACAUCCUGGGGCUGAAGUAGGUCCCAAGGGUAUGGCUGUUCGCCAUUUAAAGUGGUACGCGAGCUGGGUUUAGAACGUCGUGAGACAGUUCGGUCCCUAUCUGCCGUGGGCGCUGGAGAACUGAGGGGGGCUGCUCCUAGUACGAGAGGACCGGAGUGGACGCAUCACUGGUGUUCGGGUUGUCAUGCCAAUGGCACUGCCCGGUAGCUAAAUGCGGAAGAGAUAAGUGCUGAAAGCAUCUAAGCACGAAACUUGCCCCGAGAUGAGUUCUCCCUGACCCUUUAAGGGUCCUGAAGGAACGUUGAAGACGACGACGUUGAUAGGCCGGGUGUGUAAGCGCAGCGAUGCGUUGAGCUAACCGGUACUAAUGAACCGUGAGGCUUAACCUUACAACGCCGAAG
rnacentral:rRNA from 2 species